GAAAUGCGAUAAGUAAUGUGAAUUGCAGAAUUCAGUGAAUCAUCGAAUUUUUGAACGCACCUUGCGCUCCUUGGUAUUCCUUGGAGCAUGCCUGUUUGAGUAUCAUGAAAUCUUCAAAGUAAAUCUUUUGUUAACUCAAUUGGUUUCUACUUUGGUAUUGGAGGUCUUUGCAGCUUCACACCUGCUCCUCUUUGUUCAUUAGCUGGAUCUCAGUGUUAUGCUUGGUUCCACUCGGCGUGAUAAGUUAUCUAUCGCUGAGGACACUGUAAAAGGUGGCCAAGGUAAAUGCAGAUGAACCGCUUCUAAUAGUCCAUUGACUUGGACAAUACUUUUAUGAUCUGAUCUCAAAUCAGGUAGGACUACCCGCUGAACUUAAGC
rnacentral:misc_RNA from 1 species